rnacentral:rRNA from 1 species
UUGAACGCUGGCGGCAUGCCUUACACAUGCAAGUCGAACGGUAACAGGUCUUCGGACGCUGACGAGUGGCGAACGGGUGAGUAAUACAUCGGAACGUGCCCAGUCGUGGGGGAUAACCACUCGAAAGAGUAGCUAAUACCGCAUACGAUCUGAGGAUGAAAGCGGGGGACCUUCGGGCCCCGCGCGAUUGGAGCGGCCGAUGGCAGAUUAGGUAGUUGGUGGGAUAAAAGCUUACCAAGCCGACGAUCUGUAGCUGGUCUGAGAGGACGACCAGCCACACUGGGACUGAGACACGGCCCAGACUCCUAUGGGAGGCAGCAGUGGGGAAUUUUGGACAAUGGGCGAAAGCCUGAUCCAGCAAUGCCGCGUGCAGGAUGAAGGCCUUCGGGUUGUAAACUGCUUUUGUAUGGAACGAAAAAGCUUCUCCUAAUACGAGAGGCCCAUGACGGUACCGUAAGAAUAAGCACCGGCUAACUACGUGCCAGCAGCCGCGGUAAUACGUAGGGUGCGAGCGUUAAUCGGAAUUACUGGGCGUAAAGCGUGCGCAGGCGGUUAUGUAAGACAGAUGUGAAAUCCCCGGGCUCAACCUGGGAACUGCAUUUGUGACUGCAUGGCUAGAGUACGGUAGAGGGGGAUGGAAUUCCGCGUGUAGCAGUGAAAUGCGUAGAUAUGCGGAGGAACACCGAUGGCGAACGCAAUCCCCUGGACCUGUACUGACG